CGUGUAGGUGGUGUUAUAAGUUGGUUGUGAAAUCCCUGGGCUUAACCUAGGAAUGGCAAUCAAGACUAUAAGACUAGAGUACGGUAGAGGGUAGUGGAGUUUCCGGUGUAGCGGUGAAAUGCGUAGAGAUCGGAAGGAACACCAGUGGCGAAGGCGGCUACCUGGACUGAUACUGACACUGAGGCGCGAGAGCGUGGGGAGCAAACA
rnacentral:rRNA from 1 species